UACCAACACUGAUAUCACUUAAUCUCUCCAACCUUCUGAUCGAACGAGAGCGGCGGUAGGCUCUUCCGGAUCGAUAUUUAUUUAAUUUUUAUAAAAAAAAUUAAAGCUACCUAUCAAAUUAUAGGUGGUCGGAUAAGGACUGUGUCAGUUGGACUCCGAGUUCAUUGCGAGCUACAUGUAAUAUACAGUUGGAAGUAGAUGCUUUCCAAAAUGGACGCCUUGCUGGGAGUACCUCACCCUCUCCCUAGGAUAUGUUUGGCAGAGGAGCACCACAGUAUUCGUCAGUAGGAAAUCCGAACGUAAAUUGACCACACUUAGCGGGGACACACUCGGAUCUCCACUACAAAGAGGAGCACUGCAGCAUUCAAAAGGGGCGAGUUAGACUUGAAGUGACGGCAUCGAGAAAGCAUCGAUCUCUUGCAGGGACGCUAUUUUUCCAAUAUUAUAAAAGAUUACGGCUACUUGGAGUAAAACUGACGUGGAGAAUUUCGUAUACUUCGCCGGGACAGUUGGCGUUUCAAAAUGGCCGCCACGACGGGACCUCCUCCCACCCCAUGAUGUAAAACAAUUUUGAGAGGAGCACCGCAGAAAUCAUAAAUGACGAGACUUGUUAUGUUCCAUAAAUCCAGAAUCCAUGCAUAUAUUACUGACACCUGCAGUUUUUCUGCGGUGACAUCCUGCGCUCCAAGGUGGACGCCUCGCUGGACACCCCGCCCCCUCUCGUAGGACCUGUUUUGCAGAGGAGCAGCGCAACAGUCACAAGUGGGGUGAGUGGGAGACUGAAAAUUACCCACGCUUAGUGGGGACACAUUGAUCUCCACCAUCGCGGGGGAUCUCUGCAACACUCGUAAAUGGGCGAGUUAGUUUUGACGGGACGCCACUAAGAAAGCAUCUAUUGCAGGGACGCUAUUUAUUCAUAAUUAUAAAAUUAUAAAGGGAAAUCUGCAAUUUCGUGUCUGAUUAAAAUAAAGUAACUGAAUCUGAUCAUCGGUUACGGCUACUUGCAGUGAAACUACAGUGCCAGGUGUGAAAAUAAAGAAAUUUCGCGAGGACAAUCUGCGUCCAAAAUGGACGCCACGGUGGGACGCCAUUUAUAAAAACGUAACGAUCGAACCAAGAUGCUCCUUUUUUUGUACAGGCUUCUAAAAGAUUACUGCUAACUAUACAACGAUUACCUAUUAGUGGGGAAAUCUGCGUUCCAAGAUAGACGUGUUGGAUCUGGGUCUCCUCCCACGUCCAGUAGGACCAAUUUUUAUUGGAGUACCAUAGUUUGUGCGCUCUGAUAAUAUGUACCCAUGACAUACAUUAAGAUAUAGUGUCUUUCUAUAUAUUCAAAAAUUGUAAAUGACCCGCCAAGAGUUGAUUGGCAACAUCACCAGCUGUGGGUGGUCUAGUUUUAACGUUUACCAGCACUGUAC